rnacentral:lncRNA from 1 species
AUUAUUUUUUCUUUGUUGUUGCGUCUACUUGUUGGCUUUGCAGGUGCCUGUGGCCGACAGUGGUGGCAGAAGCGUGCGAGUGGAGGCGUGGGCUGGAGGCGUGGCAGACGAGGAGGCCACGUAAGGCAUGCGGCGGCCAGCUAGGGUUUGCUGCUGAAAUUUUAAGUUUGUGGGCUGAUUAUUUUGGGCUUAAGGUUUGGGUAGUUGGGAUUGAAUUUUGGGUUUGUUGUAUUUUAUUUUAUUUGGACAAUGGGCCCAGCAAAUUUGGGCUUCUACAGCUGCCCCUCUUUGCUCGUUUUCGUGUAACGAGAACAGAGCAAAGACUAAGAAAGACCAAAUUUGCCUGGUCUCGCCGAGGCUUGACUUCUUCGGGUGCUUCUCUUCUUCAAGUAGCCUUAUUCCAGCCUGCUACAUCUUGUUGCUUUGAUCCACUCUACUGCAAUUUCAGAUACGCCUUAUAGCUUCAAUCUACUCUGCUACGACUCCAUGGGGAUGAGAUAUGUGUUUUUAGUCUGCUCCACUACUGCGUAGGGAGAUAAGACUGGAUGUGAUCUACUCCACUACUGCUUAGGGGAAUAAGAUCUGUGGUUCUGUCUGCUCCACUAUUGCUUAGGGAGAUAAGACUUGAUGCGAUCUGCUCCACUACUGCUUAGGGAGAUAAGAUCUGUGGUUCUGUCUGCUCCACUAUUGCUUAGGGAGAUAAGACUUGAUGCGAUCUGCUCCACUACUGCUUAGGGAGAUAAGAUCCGUGGUUCUGUCUGCUCCACUAUUGCUUAGGGAGGUAAGACUUGAUGCGAUCUGCUCCACUACUGCUUAGGGAGAUAAGAUCUGUGGUUCUGUCUGCUCCACUAUUGCUUAGGGAGAUAAGACUUGCUACGAUCUGCUCCACUAUUGCUUAGGGAGAUAAGAUCUGUGGUUCUAUCUGUUCCACUAUUGCUUAGGGAGAUAAGACUUGAUGCGAUCUGCUCCACUACUGCUUAGGGAGAUAAGAUCUGUGGUUCUGUCUGCUCCACUAUUGCUUAGGGAGAUAAGACUUGAUGCGAUCUGCUCCACUAUUGCUUAGGGAGAUAAGAUCUGUGGUUCUGUCUGCUCCACUAUUGCUUAGGGAGAUAAGAUCUGUGGUUCUGUCUGCUCCACUAUUGCUUAGGGAGGUAAGACUUGAUGCGAUCUGCUCCACUAUUGCUUAGGGAGAUAAGAUCUGUAGUUCUGUCUGCUCCACUAUUGCUUAGGGAGAUACGACUUGAUGCGAUCUGCUCCACUAUUGCUUAGGGAGAUAAGAUCUGGUUUCUUUUGUCUGCUCCACUACUGCUUAGGGAGAUAAGACUUGAUGUGACCUGCUCCACUACUGCUUAGGGAGAUAAGAUCUGGUUUCUGUCUGCUAGAGAAGUGAGAUUCGCCGUUGUGGCUUCAAUCUGAUUAAUUGCAAUGUCGGGGAACAAGAUUCGCCGUUGUAGCUUCAAUCUGAUCCACUGCAUCGCCAAGAAAGUAAGAUUCGCCGUUGCGGCUUCAAUCUUUUAAAUUGCAAUAUCAAGGAAGCAAGAUUCACCGUCGUAGCUUUAAUCUGCUGCACUGUACUGCCAGAGAAGUGAGAUUCGCCGUUGUGGCUUCAAUCUCUUUAAUUGCAAUGUCGGGGACCAAGAUUUGCCGUUGUAGCUUCAAUCUGAUCCACUGCAUCGCCAGGAAAGUAAGAUUCACCGUUGCGGCUUCAAUCUUCUUAAUUGCAAUAUCAGAGAAGCAAGAUUCGCCGUCGUAGCUUUAAUCUGCUCUACUGUACUGCCAAAAAAGUAGAUUUGCCAUUGUGGCUUCAAUCUCUUUAAUUGCAAUGUCGGGGAACAAGAUUCACCGUUGUAGCUUCAAUCUGAUCCACUGCAUCGCCAGGAAAGUAAGAUUCGUCGUUGCGGCUUCAAUCUUCUUAAUUGCAAUAUCAGAGAAGCAAGAUUCGCCGUCGUAGCUUUAAUCUGCUCUACUGUACUGCCAAAAAAGUGAGAUUCGCCGUUGUGGCUUCAAUCUCUUUAAUUGCAAUGUCGGGGAACAAGAUUCGCCAUUGUAGCUUCAAUCUGAUCCACUGCAUUGCCAGGAAAGUAAGAUUCGCCGUUGCGACUUCAAUCUUCUUAAUUGCAAUAUCAGAGAAGCAAGAUUCGCCGUCGUAGCUUUAAUCUGCUCCACUGCAUCGCCAGAGAGAUAAUGUUUGAUAAGAUCUUCUCUACUACAACUUCAGAGAGAUAAGAUCUGUUUUCUUCGAUCCACUUCCUACCAAUAUAGGAAGACAGAACCUGCUAAUCUACGAUCUACUUCACGCCAAUACAUGAAGACAAGAUCUGCUUUCUUCGAUCCACUUCCUACCAAUAUAGGAAGACAGGAUCUGCUAUCUUCGAUCUACUUCACGCCAAUACAUGAAGACAAGAUCUGCUUCUUCAAUCCACUUCCUACUAAUAUAGGAAGACAGGACCUGCUAUCUUCGAUCUACUUCACGCCAAUACAUGAAGACAAGAUCUGUUUUCUUCGAUCUACUUCGCCACCAGUAUGGGAAGACAAGAUCUGCAUCUUCGAUCCACUUCUUACCAAUAUAGGAAGACAGGACCUGCUAUCUUCGAUCUACUUCACGCCAAUACAUGAAGACAAGAUCUGCUUUAAUGACUUCAAUCCAUCCUACUGCAACUUUAGGGGUAUAGGAUCUGUUUCUUUGAUCUGUUCUCUGGGGAACAUGACCUGUAAAAUUCAUUUCAUGGACCUACUUAUGCCUAGUGUUUAGGAUGUCAUGAUUAGAAUGAAUCAAGUGUUCCUAACUAGAUUUGAAUGAAUAUAUAUUUGCAUGAAUGCAGAAUGUCAUUUUCUGAGAAUGAUCCCUUUUUAUCGAUUAGGUUGUCAUUACUCGAAAUUUAUUAAAGGAUCUAUCACCGAUGCCUUCUCGUUCAGCUAGUAUCUUUGAUAGAAAAAUCAAGGAAAUAGUUGCAAUUUAGACUAUUCUUCCUCCAAUGCUUCUAACCCUUAAGUUGGUUAGUUCUAAACAAUAGUCCUAUUUCAGGUCCUCGUAUUAUUUAAAAACUUUCAGAGUAAUAUGCAGAACUCCUUCUGCAUGAGUAUUGUCAGUCCAUUAAUCGUUAUUUCAAUGAAAAAUGCUUGAAAGAUUAUCAAAAUGGACAAAAUGAAAUUUCGUUGAGAGCAAAGCUCUAAACAAACAAAUCAAUCAAGAUAGCAAAUUUCACUGAGAUACGAGAUGAAUAAGAUGAAAAAGAUUAUCACAAUGGAUAAGAUGAAAAUUUGUUAAGAGCAAAGCUCUAAAUGAACAAAUUAAUCAAGAUAGCAAAUUUGCUAGAAUAAAAAAAUGAGAAUAAAUUAAUCAAGAUGGCGUAUUUUUUCAAAAAUAAAAAAAUGAAUAAAAUGGAAAUAGGUGCCCCAGAUAUCAUAGCAUGAGCUUCUCUGCCCCAAACUUCUUGAGGACCCUUUUGAACUUGAUAUGUGUCUAGAAGUCCUAGAAGACUUUGUUGAUGCCCCAAGAUGUAACAUCUCUCCUUCUUAUUAAUUCGGAGAGGACAAGACUACCGCAUGCCCCACCUUCGAUCAAAAUUUAAACUGCCCAUUCCUGGGUUUUCAAUUCAAAACCCCUUUGGUCUCAAGGCGCCCUUUGCGGGUUUUCACCUUGGCCUCUCCUUUUUCUUUUUGUUCUUCUUUUCUUUUCUUUUUUUAUUUCUUUUUUCAAGUGAAGUAUUUAUUGCUUGAAUCAGAAUUCUCAAGAUUAGGUAGGUUCUUGCCAUCCAUCCUGGUUAAUAUCGACGCUUUUUCUAAUAAGGACUUCCACAUAAGGUCCUUUUCAGUUUGGCAUCCACUUUUCUGAAUUCCCCUUUGUAUGGCAAGGAUCUUCUUCAAUAUCAGGUGCUCCUCAUAGAAUUCUCUGGAGCGAACCUUUUUUGGCGAGCUCGCAUCAUUCGCCUUUGGUACAUUUGACCAUGACGGAUAGCUUUCAACCUUUUCUCUUCAAUCAGAUUUAACUGACCAUAUCGGGCCUAGAUCCAUUCUGUUUCAUCUAACUUCAGCUCUGACUAGACUCGAAGGGUAGGAAUAUCAACUUCGAUAGGUAAAACUGCCCCUAUGCCAUAUACCAACGAGAAAUGAGGUGCCCCAGUAGAGGUUUUUUUUUCUUUUGUUCUCUUUUUUUUGUUUUUGUGUUUUUGGUUUUAAGUUUUUUUUGCCUUUUUUUUUGCUUCCACUGAACUGUUCAUUUUGGGCGGCAUGGUGUUAAUCUUGAACAGACUGCAAACUUCUGAUGUCGUGCCGUUGUUCAAAUUCAAUGCAUUGUCUGAUAUGAGCAUUUUUGGCAUUCCAUAUUGACAUAUGAUUCUUCAAGAAAUUUGCUGAUUGUCAGUUUUGUGAUAUUGGCAUAUGAAACAACCUCUACCCACUUUAUGAAAUAAUCGACGACUACAAAGAUGAAUUGAUGAUCGACAGAAGCUUUUGGCGAGGUCGGCCUAAUGACAUCCAUGCCCCUCAUAGAGAAAGUUAAUGGAAAACUCAUAACAUGAAGAGAUAAAGGAAGCACAUAAAUCUUGUCUCCGUAAAUUUGGCCUUUGUGGCAUUUCUUGGUAUAACUGAUGCAAUCCCCUUCCAUGGUGGACCAACAGUACCCAUAUUUCAUGAUUAACUUGGCCAUUGCAAGAUCAAUGCAUGUGUUCCUCAAACACCUUUUUUUAGCCUCAACAGUGUCCGCACGUGUUAGUAGCUCAGGCAUAUCUUGGUAUGAUCAUGUGAAAACAUCAUUGAAUUCUUAAAGUAACUCAAUGACGUCUCGCUUUGUCUCCGCGGUGAUACAGGCUCUGAUAUUCACAUUUUUCUCUUCUCUUAAGCUCACAAUUUUCACUGAUUCUUUGUAAAGCAAGAUCUGUUUCUCGACUUGUUCUACCAUCCUUAACAAUCAGGAGAUAAGCUACAGUCUCGAUCGUCUUCAAAGUCUUGAGGUACCUCUGGACACAUAUCUUGCUCAAAAGGAGAUUCUGAGUCAAUAGCAGUGUCGCUCAUAUCAUUGAUAUCUGGAGACCUGUUCUAGGGAUGAAAGAAGACUCAAAGGACAAAUGAAUCAAAGGGUAAUUAUCUGUGUAGUAUGAGUUUGAAUGAAAUGGAAGGAACAAAAGAAUAUUUGCCAAAACCAGACACAAAGAUGCAUUUCAUUGAAAUAAAAAAAUGUGGACAUACGCCUUUUUCAGAAAAGGAUUUUCUAUUGCUCCUAGGCUCAGAGCAAUAAGAGCGUUCCGAAUGUUACUCUGAAAUGACCCUAAAAAUUACAAGAAUCUCCUCCACAGUCCAGUUGUUUUGAACGCCUCUAGGGAUGUAGAAACAAAUUCAUGAUAGGCUUUUUCAUUUUUUUAGUUCUUCUUCAAAGGCACAAACAUCUUCACCUUUCGAACCAUCGAUAUAUUCAAAUAAUUCCAAUUCUUUACCAUCCAUCUGGUUCUGUACUAGAGUUCUAAACUUGACGUACUUUUGGAUUUUAGGAAACUUACUGUAUGCAAUGAAACGUAAUGUUGAUGCAUGAAUGCGUAUUUUUGGAUUUUAAGAAAUUUAUUGCAUGCAAUGAAAUUUAAUGUUGAUGCAUGAAUGCGUAUUUUUGGAUUUUAAGAAAUUUAUUGCAUGCGAUGAAAUGUAAUGUUGUUGCAUAAAUGCAAAAAAAAGAGAUGUUGAUUCUUGGUUCAAUUCUAUUAGAAGUACUUUACUAGAAAAUAAAUGUCUUUACAUAAAACGGAUAUAUAUACGGCUUUGCCCUCAUAGGCAGGGACAUUUGAUCCUCUUAUUCAUUCGAGCGUUAAGAUAAAUCUCACGAACUUUUCAAAAGGGAUGUCUCUUUUAUCUCUUUCUUGCUUGAUCCGGGCUGAGACUCGUUGUUCACUCAUGCUCAUGAUGCUCGUUGGCUUCUCUUUACGAAAGUUCAGCGGCUCUCGAAUAAUCCUUGUCACCUUGAAUUCUCGGGCAACGGAGCAAUGGUUGUAUAGUCCUCCAUUAAACUAUCAUCCUUCUCUUAUCAUGUUUUCUUUGACCAUAUUCGGACAACCGUAUUAUUAUCCACUUUAUCAAGAAACCCAUUUCCUUAUGACAAACUCUCUAUUUAACAACUGAACGUGAAUCAACACCUUUUUUUAUGAUGAAAAUGCAAUGCAAUCAUAACCAAAAAGACAAUAGGUUAGUACAAAGUAAAAGCAAGCAAGAAUAAAUAGAACAACUAUUUGGGUGACCACUAGGGGUUUGAAGUGGUUCUACCUAGGGUGGCUCUUAAGGUCUUCUACAUGUGGUUUGGCUCUAAAGUAAGGGUACCCGAACCAGUAGAUUCCUCGAUCCUCACCCAUUAUAGGCUCAUACAGACCGAGUUCGGUUCAUGGGAAUACAUUUCCCUAUGGCUGCACGAAGAUGAAAAUCUCACGAAGACAGAGGUACGGAUGUAUCCCGAAAGCGAUCCACUAUCCUGCACGGAGGUGAAAACCUCACGAAGGACUAGUUUCUCACUCCCACUUAAAGGGGUGUGACCAGUGGUCAUGCAAUGCAAUGUGCAGAGAUAUAAAAAAUAAAAUACAGAACAUGAUGAAAAAUAUAACUCGAGACAAAAGAGAUGCAAUGAGAGGAUCGUAAAUUUAAAUCGAAUUUUCAACUUUCGACAAAAAGACGAGAAAUAAUCAACACGUGGCUUGACUCUCUUAUUUUGGUCCCCAGUGGAGUCGCCAAGCUGUUGACACCAUUUUUUUGAUGGAAAACGGAGUCAACUUGGGUUUUGAAAAAUGAAAUCAAAUGUGGGAGUCGCCACCAAUCCUUUUUUUGAUGAGGUGUGAUCGAGUCACCUCAAAAAGUGGUUGUUUUUAAUAAACGAUUUAAUUUUUAUUAAAACAACUAUUUUGGUCUACGAAGUUCAGAAAAAUGGGUUCGGGAGUUGGUUACGCACGAGGCAGGGUUAGCACCCUCGAUACGCCCAAAAUUGGCAACUAGUUGAUUACUUAAUGUCUUGGUGUCGAAAAUUAAAAACUCGAAAAGAAUUUAAAAAUACGAUCCUUCUUUAUAUUGCGUUAUUUAAAAAAAUUACUUGGAUAAAUCAAAAUGGAAAAAUGCCUUCUUAUCUCGAAGUAACAAGAUGUCACAUUCAGUAAGUUAAAACACGACACCUCGUAUUUUCGAGAGUAAGCUUGCAUAUAUUUUUUUGUUUAAACCUCAUUUAUUUCAAUUUUAAAAAGAUAUUCGGUUAUUUAGAAUCACGAGAAAAAUCGAAGCCUAGUAAGUUAGGGCACGAUUUCUUGAAUUUUCUAAAUACGGAAUAUUGCCUUUAUUUUCGAAAUUUUAUAUGUUUGAAAUUUAGAAGGAUAUUUUGUUAUUUGGGUUUAAUGAGAAAAUCGAGACCCAGUAAGUUAGGGUACAAUUUCUCAAAUUUCCAAAAUACAAAAUAUUGCCUUAUUUAGCAAAAUUCAUUUUGAAUAAUAGCGGGUAAUCUAUUUGAAGGUAUGCAUUUAUCUCACUUAGAAUAAAAUAAAGCAAUCUAAAUUGGAUAACUAUGUCGGAGUUUAAUUUACAAUACAAUGACGUGAACUAAUCAAUACAAUAAUAAACAUAGAGUAAUGAUACAUGAAUAAAAUUAUACCAAUGGCACACACAAUGAAAAUAAUCACUCAACACACAUUAUUUAAACAUCAUUAUUAAUAAAAAAGGGAUGAAUAAAUUAAAUAACAUAUAUAACAAUUUCAAAAUGAGUAGUACAAAAUAAAUUAGAACAAAUAAAUGUAGGAUAAUUUUGAAGGGAUAAUAAAUAAAUUUUGAACAAAUAAAAUAAAAAAGUUUAUACAAAACGAUUUUAAAAUACUAUGUAUAAAAAUUUUAAAAGUAAUAUGCAUGUACAUAUAGAAAUGUAAGAUAGGAAAAGUUUUAAAAUGGAUAAUAAAUAAACAUAAGACGUAUAUCAUAGCUGAAAAAGUACCAAAUGAUUUUAAAUAAUUAGUAUAUAUAAUGCGUUCCAAUGUAAGAUAAAUAAUGUAUAAAAUACUCAAUGUAUAGAAACUCUAAACAAAAAUAAAACAGUUUUGAUAUAAAUAAUAUAAUGAAUUUCAAAAUAAAUAGUAUAGGAAACAAUCUAAAUUACAUAGUACAUAUAAAUUCAAAAUAGAUAAUGCAAACACAUGUAUUUAAGAUAAAUAACAUAUAAAAAGCUUGAGAUAAAUACUAGUUAAUUUAAAACAGUCUAAAACAAAAUAACAUAUAAAAGAAAAUCUUAAAUAAUAAAAGAAACAGUUUAAAAUGUACAAAAAAUGGGGUUAAAAGGUAAUGGGCAUGAUUGAAACCAGAAAUAAAAUAAAGGGGAUAAUUAAAAAAUUAAAAGAUGGAACGAGGGACUGAUUUGCAACGUGCUAAAAAUAUCAGGGAGCGAAGGAAGAAAUAUGCCAAGCCCCUUGUGCACAGCGUUUCAAUGCAAAGGGGCACACAUGGUCAAAGGACCCGAUUGAAGUAGACAAGGAAUUCACAGCCCAAAUUUUAAAAAAUAAAUAAAUAAAUAAAAGGUUAAAGUGCGCUUCAGCGCAAUGUGAAGGGACUAAAGGCAUAAAUUACCCAUUAAGGGCAAGAAUGUGUUGAUUUCCCCCCUCAAAUGGCACUGAUUUGCAAUCCAUAAAAGCAAACAAAUGCUUUCUUUUUCUGCCAUUUAUUUUUAGCAAGGAAACCCCCAAAAAAAGUUUAACAUUAUUUUUUUUUAAAAACACAGAGAGUCCCCAUGGCCCCUCUCUCGCGCCGUCCCCUCUUCCGACUUAGGGCUCCUCUGGCGUUCAACUACGCCGUCGUCGACUUACGACCGGCGACACGAUGGGAUGGGCUUUGCAGCCCCGUUUAACGGCGUCCUUGAGAGCCAAGACUCUCUCCACCCAUGGGAGUCGAAAACAAGGGAGGUUCUCGGCCUCUUGGACCCGAUUUGGACGACGGAGGAGAGACCCUCCGACGACGGAACCAAGGCCACUUCCGGUGAGUUCCCUCUCCCUUUAUUUUGAUUUUGAUUUUUUUAUUAUAGUUAUUAAAAAAUAGAUUUGCAAAAGAAGAAAAAAUGUAAGAUAAAACAAGUAAACAAAUAAAAAAAGGAAAACGAAGAGGAAAUAACAAGGAUCCAAUCUUUCAAAAUUUCUGUGUUUUUUUCUGAUUUUCUCUGUUCAUCCAAACGAAGAAGCAGAUACAUGAGCAGUGCUUGGGGUUUUUUAUAACCCGAUUACCAAUGCUUUUAUCUCUAUUUUGUUUUUUUACAUUAUUUUUUCUUUGUUGUUGCGUCUACUUGUUGGCUUUGCAGGUGCCUGUGGCCGACAGUGGUGGCAGAAGCGUGGGAGUGGAGGCGUGGGCUGGAGGCGUGGCAGACGAGGAGGCCACGUAAGGCAUGCGGCGGCCAGCUAGGGUUUGCUGCUGAAAUUUUAAGUUUGUGGGCUGAUUAUUUUGGGCUUAAGGUUUGGGUAGUUGGGAUUGAAUUUUGGGUUUGUUGUAUUUUAUUUUAUUUGGACAAUGGGCCCAGCAAAUUUGGGCUUCUACAGCUGCACCUCUUUGCUCGUUUUCGUGUAACGAGAACAGAGCAAAGACUAAGAAAGACCAAAUUUGCCUGGUCUCGCUGAGGCUUGACUUCUUUGGGUGCUUCUCUUCUUCAAGUAGCCUUAUUCCAGCCUGCUACGUCUUGUUGCUU